AAGUACCCAGUAAGGUGAGUACAUGUCUGAGUUCUCAGAACCCCACCAAGCCUCGUCCGAUGACAGCUGGUCCCCGGCCAAAGUGGGUAAGGAACAUGCAGGCUAUUAUCAGGGAGAGAAACAGGCAGGGUGGCAUCAGGGGAGGUAAGAGAACUGCUGGACGCCCAAAAGGUGAACCUGCAGCCAAGCGCUCCUUUAACUCUUAGAUAGUCUCUCUUCAGUUUCUGUUCUGCAAAUGUAAAAUGUCAGGUCCUUUGGAAAAAUGUGGCGCAGCAGGAAAGAUAUUUUGCACUGGAUUCUGCUUGGUUGUUUUUUCUUUGCUUCCAGGACAAGGAUUAAACAUAAGACCCCAGAGGACCCCAAAAGCAGACAAGACAAGUGAAGGCGAACAGAUGAGAGAAGAAAUUAGAAACAGAUCCAGGAUCAGAACAUGAGAUGAACGACUUGCAGAAGGUUUACCAAAGAGAUUUGUCCUCCAUGAGGUGAGCGACAGCCCCUGGGUGACAAAAGAAAUUAGAAGCAGACCCAGGAUCAGAACUUGAGAUGAACAACAACUCGACAAACAAAGCAAUCCAAAACGGCCAAAAGACCCCAAGGAUAAGAGGCGAGAUGAGGACCAGCCCCAAGAUGUGAAGCCAGGCCCAGAGAGACAAGGGAGCCCAAGUCGCAGGGACACGGAAGAACAAAGUGAGGCACAGAGACCCGAGAAGACGAAAAAGCAGAAAGAACAGGGAGGAGCCACAGGAUGACAGAAGAGAUGAGAAUCAGCUCCCAAAAGACCCGAGAUGAGGAUGGAACCAAAUUCGAGAUGGAACCAAAUUCCACCCCCAGCCCCACCCCUCUCUCUCUCCUUCUCUCUCUCUCUCAACCCAACCGGUCAAGGCAGAUGGCGGCCCACCUAGAGCCGGGGUCUGCUCCGAGGUUUCUGCCUUCCAAAAGGCAGUUU